rnacentral:rRNA from 1 species
AGGAUAAACGCUGGCGGCGUGCAUGAGACAUGCAAGUCGAACGGACGAUCAGGGCUUGCUCUGAUCGUUAGUGGCGGACGGCUGAGUAGCGCGUAGGUGACCUGCCCCGAAGUGGGGAAUAACUGCCCGAAAGGGUGGCUAAUACCGCAUGUGGUGGUGUGUUCAAUCACACCAGUAAAGCCGCAAGGCGCUUCGGGAGGGGCCUGCGUCCGAUUAGCUCGUUGGUGGGGUAACGGCUCACCAAGGCGACGAUCGGUAGGUGGUCUGAGAGGACGAUCACCCAGACUGGGACUGAGACACGGCCCAGACUCCUACGGGAGGCAGCAGUCGGGAAUUUUUGCGCAAUGGACGAAAGUCUGACGCAGCAACGCCGCGUGAGGGAUGAAGGCCUUCGGGUUGUAAACCUCUUUUAUCAGGGAAGAUAAUGACGGUACCUGAUGAAUAAGUCACGGCUAACUACGUGCCAGCAGCCGC